AGCAUGGACUGGAGUUAAAUUUGUGGAUUUUUAUAUUUGCAUUGCAGGCUAGAUGAAUAAGAUUGACUGGUGUCUUUAUUAUUCCCUGUGAUAUGAGACAAUAUGCUCAAUUAUAGCUAAUUUAGAAAUUGAAAUUCUUCUUUUAUUUAUAAGAAUAUGGUGACUAAAACAUAGGCCUGGAUAAAUAAAUGUGAGGUCUUCAUUAUUUUUCUUUAUCCUCUGAACUGCUGAAUUUUUAAAAAAGAUGCUUAGGCUACAUGUACUCUAAUUCCAGAUAGUGAGUUAUCUCAGUAUUUUCUUUUUAUAAAAUGAUGAGAAGAACUAAUAUUAUUAGGAUAUCCAACUGCGUUACAAUAUAGAUUCCAUCAGGAAAUUUAGUUCAUAGUGAAUGUGAUGUUUCACUAUUCUGCUGCUCCCAAGCAUCAGGUGUUCUGCUUAUUCUGUACUCUUUGCCUUUAGAGAUAAGGAAAUUGUGGUAGCUGCAGAUGAAGAGGAGUAAAGGGAUAUUCAAAAACUUGAGUAAGCCAUAUAUUUGAAGGUCUCCACGAAUGAUGAGUCCACCAUGAGAGAGAGAGGUUUCAUGUUUUGGUCGAACAUGCCGUUUGGGUGUUAGCGCUUCAGGUUUUAUGCAGUGAGGAGUUGGACACUGGAAUUUCAAUUUUGAUUCUGUGAUGACCUGAUGACCUGGUUGGACCCUAGAUCAAGUUUACUCUGAUGACAAUACAAGGGCUACCAUAGCUUGAGAUAAAUCAACUCAAAAGCUUUGAUUCCUCUACAUGUGUUCCAGCUACAUGAAAACUAAUACAUGAUAUUUAAGAUCUUCCAAUAUUAUAUUACUAAUUACUCUGUUCUUUUCAUCCGAACGCUAUUUCUUAGUCAAAGUUUAUUUUCUCUUUCAAAGCUUUGGCAUUCGGCAUCCAAAUGAUUUUUUAGUUUGAUGACUGGUCCACUGGAAGAGAUAUGGUGCAGAUUGAUGCAGUAAUUCGUGUGAUGUUUUGCGGGUUUGUAGCAACGUUUGUAGCAUGAGUAUGACCCAGGUUGUAGAAAAUGCAUUCUUCGGAAAAGUAGCAGGUGCAUAGCCAUUUAUAGCUUUACAUCGAGCCCUAUGGAAACCAAGAUAUAUUGACCCAUAUUUAGGUUUUGGUUUAUCAUAUUUCAAAAUUUCAAUACAUACCUAGAUAGUGGCUUAGAACUAGAUGCAAUAGAUAUUUGGUCAAAAGUGCAGUGUAUAUGUGAAAACUUUUACUUCUCUUCUGCUAUUUGAUAUGGACUAUGUUAUGGUUGAUCGAUCAUGUAGGUUCACGCUUUAUGGUCGCAUAAUUUGUGUUGUACAUAAUGUCUAGGCUUCAUUAUUUAGAUUCUUGCUUCGCGCUUAUGACUCUACCUUUUUUCUCAGGUCAAGAACCUACGACACUAAUUAACAGAACCAGAGUUGCAAAAUUAUCUUUGGUCACUGGCUGUUUGGAUUCCUGGCUGUGAGAGCUUCAUCCAACCUGUUUGUUUUUCCAAGUCCUAUUUAUCUAUGCCUACAGGAUAUUCGGCAUAAAUCCAAGCAGGUUGCUCUCAUAUCUAGGUCCGCCCCGGAGAUGAACGGGCGUGUUCCGCGGGCACCAACGUGGCCUGUUUUCGGCAUCCACCAUGGCACCACGUGCAUAUGCUGCAGCGGAACAAGCAGCACCCUCCAGCUUGAUGGAUCUUUUUUCCUCUCUGUGUUGUUGCUCCACGUGAAGUAAUGCUCUGCCUAGGCAGUGAGACAGGCAUGCGUGCAUGCUUAGCGGGGCAGAGCAGCGAGGGGAUCUGGUGGUCAACGGUGCCAUGGACAGAGGUUAGCGACGGCCACGACUCGCUUCCAACCUAGCAUGGAGAUGGAGCUGCGGGAAUAGCAGCAAGGGAAAUCUUGGAACAUCGAGCUCACCAACAUAGUAUUAUAUCGGGAGAGAGAAAGGAGGGGAGAGGGGAGGUAGGUGGCUAGAGAAAAUGGAGAGAGAGGAAUCUUAAGAUGCUAUGUGUGUCCAAGAACAGCACUUUCAUAUCCCAUAGUGGUGUCACACGGGUUGUAUACGGCCAUGAUUCUUAAGAUGCAAUGUGUGUCCAAGAAAAACACUUUCAUAUCUCAUAGUGGU